rnacentral:rRNA from 1 species
AGAGUUUGAUCCUGGCUCAGGAUAAACGCUGGCGGCGUGCCUAAUGCAUGCAAGUCGAACGGGAGCACCUUAGGGUGUCGACCGUGGCGGACGGGUGAGGAACACGUAGCUGACCUGCCCAGAUGAGGGGGAUAACGCUGGGAAACUGGUGUGAAUACCGCAUAGACUGCGGCUCAGGGAUGAGUUGCAGGAAACGGAUUUUCGGAUUCGCAUUUGGAGGGGGCUGCGGCCGAUUAGCUAGUUGGUGUGGUAACGGCAUACCAAGGCAUUGAUCGGUAGCUGGUCUGAGAGGAUGAUCAGCCACACGGGGACUGAGACACGGCCCCGACUCCUACGGGAGGCAGCAGCAAGGAAUUUUCCACAAUGGGGGCAACCCUGAUGGAGCAACGCCGCGUGGGGGAGGAAGCCCUUCGGGGUGUAAACCCCUUUUCUGGGGGACGAAGACAAUGACGGUACCCCAGGAAGAAGGACCGGCUAACUACGUGCCAGCAGCCGCGGUAAGACGUAGGGUCCGAGCGUUGUCCGGAGUUACUGGGCGUAAAGGGCGCGCAGGCGGUUGGUCACGUCGGGUGUGAAAGCCCCCCGCUCAACGGGGGAAGGUCACUCGAAACGGGUUAACUGGAGGCAGGGAGAGGUCGGUGGAAUUCCCGGUGUAGCGGUGAUAUGCGUAGAGACCGGGAGGAACACCAGAGGCGAAGGCGGCCGACUGGACCUGACCUGACGCUGAGGCGCGAAGGCGUGGGGAGCGAACGGGAUUAGAUCCCGGUAGUCCACGCAGUAAACGAUGUGCACUAGGUGUAGCGGGAGUUGACCCCGGCUGUGCCGGAGCAAACGCGGUAAGUGCACCGCCUGGGGAGUACGGCCGCAAGGCUAAAACUCAAAGGAAUUGACGGGGCCCCGCACAAGCAGCGGAGCGUGUGGUUUAAUUCGACGCAACGCGAAGAACCUUACCAGGACUUAACAUCCCCAGAAUCUUGCUGAAAAGCUGGAGUGCUCUUCGGAGAGCCGAGAGAUAGGUGUUGCAUGGCUGUCGUCAGCUCGUGUCGUGAGAUGUUGGGUUAAGUCCCGCAACGAGCGCAACCCCUGUGGUUAGUUACUAGGAUGUCUAACCAGACUGCCGUAAAAGGAGGAAGGCGGGGAUGACGUCAAGUCCGCAUGACCCUUACGUUCUGGGCUACACACACGCUACAAUGGCCGGUACAGAGGGCAGCCAAGCCGUAAGGUGGAGCCAAUCCCAGAAAGCCGGUCUCAGUACGGAUUGAGGGCUGAAACUCGCCCUCAUGAAGGCGGAGUUGCUAGUAACCGCUGGUCAGCAUACAGCGGUGAAUAUGUUCCCGGGGCUUGUACACACCGCCCGUCACGUCAUGGAAGCCGGCAACACCUGAAGUCGGUGGGCCAACCGGUUUUGGCCGGAGGCAGCCGCCGAGGGUGGGGCUGGUGACUGGGACGAAGUCGUAACAAGGUAGCC